GCCGGCAGUCACAGGGCUCACCCAGCUCCCACCCAAACCAAAGGGCCGGUCUCACUCCCACCGUGCACCCCCCAACAGCCCCCAGUCCGUUUCCAGGCGGAGAGGGAUACAGGCCUGAAAACCUGCCCCAGGCUACCCGCCUCCCAGCUGCGAGAGAAAAAGGCUUGGUUCUUCCCCCGCCUGUGGAGUCAGCACCCCGGAUUCGUGCCCUGCCCUAGUUCUGGCCAGGAGGAUUCUCACCCAGUUCAAACUGUUACAACGCUCAGCUAGAGAUUUCCUUCUCCCUGUGGAGUUUUACCCCCUCCUCUCCCGAUGGAUCCCUGUGGUGCCAGCAGGAAUGGGCUGCUCGGGGACCCAGCGAGCUCCGCGGGCCUUUCCGCUGCUUCCUCUACCCCUGUACCUCACUGGGCUCCCCAGACGGACUCAGCUCCAGGUGUCUGUGAACUCAAGAGAAGCCUUUCAUUCUAGACAUAGUAGUUAUUUUCUAAAUCAUCUUUAAACUUAUUUGCUGGAAUAUUGUGGGGGUAAAGUGCAAACUUCCCCUUCACCAUCUGAAGGUUUGCUAAAAAUCAACAGGCAGAAGGCGAAUUAACAGGAGAAAUGGCAUGCCAAUUUGUUUGAUCACAGUUUUACAUGAAGAAUGAAGACCCAAAGACACAUGAGAAAUUGUCCAUUUUUAUGCAACACCAGACCAGGCGAUGCUCUAAGACAGGUACAACAAAGUAUGGACAUGCGUGUAGAAAUACGAGUCAACUAAAGGGUGUGAUCUACUGCUAAUAGGCUGAGUGGGGACACCCAGACUCUUCCUGGCCCCUGUGAGCAGCUUCCUUUCCUUCUGGUGUGGGGCAGGAACUUCUCUGGAAUGGGGAUCUUCUGACCCACAGUCAAACAAGAAUUGGACAGAAGUCACAUCAGGGAGACCAGAGACUAGAGUAUUGCAUCAUAGAGGAAAGACACUGAUGACAAGACCUCAGGGGAGCAGUGGAACUGGAGGCCUGGGAGCUUGGGACGUGUUCUCCGGGUGAAGUUGGCUGGCCAGCUGAUGACCUACACCAGUGCCAUUCACUCCUCAUGUGUCCCCCGGGAAUUCAUAGUGUGUGUCAUCAGGUAAAAGCAACACUACUUUCAGAUGUUUUCUGAUCUCUUUGAGAUCUGGACAACACUACUGUGUACAUAUGGCCAGCAACAAAUUACACUCAAUGAAUAUUUUAGAGAGCAGCAAAGUAAUCAAUUAAAAUGUGGGUAAACAAAAAUCACUGUGAUCACAGCUCUGUCUACAUGGUUCUUUGGUAAAAAAUUAGAAUCCUGGGGAUUAGUCUGAGGAUAAAUAUUAUUUAAAAAGCAUUUUGGUUAAAUAGUAAUUAGUAAAUUUUGCUC
rnacentral:lncRNA from 1 species